rnacentral:rRNA from 1 species
CCUACGGGGGGCAGCAGUGGGGAAUAUUGCACAAUGGGCGCAAGCCUGAUGCAGCCAUGCCGCGUGUGUGAAGAAGGCCUUCGGGUUGUAAAGCACUUUCAGCGGGGAGGAAGGCGGUGAGGUUAAUAACCUCAUCGAUUGACGUUACCCGCAGAAGAAGCACCGGCUAACUCCGUGCCAGCAGCCGCGGUAAUACGGAGGGUGCAAGCGUUAAUCGGAAUUACUGCGCGUAAAGCGCACGCAGGCGGUCUGUCAAGUCGGAUGUGAAAUCCCCGGGCUCAACCUGGGAACUGCAUUCGAAACUGGCAGGCUAGAGUCUUGUAGAGGGGGGUAGAAUUCCAGGUGUAGCGGUGAAAUGCGUAGAGAUCUGGAGGAAUACCGGUGGCGAAGGCGGCCCCCUGGACAAAGACUGACGCUCAGGUGCGAAAGCGUGGGGAGCAAACAGGAUUAGAUACCCUUGUAGUC